AUCUCCGGAGAAUUCCGAAAACGGAUGCCGAAGGUGCAAAGGAGCGUCGCGCUCCCCAAUCUCUCAGGCAAAAGGACGGAGGUA
rnacentral:ncRNA from 1 species